AGUGAACGCUGGCGGUAGGCCUAACACAUGCAAGUCGAACGGCAGCACAGUAAGAGCUUGCUCUUACGGGUGGCGAGUGGCGGACGGGUGAGGAAUACAUCGGAAUCUACUUUUUCGUGGGUGAUAACGUAGGGAAACUUACGCUAAUACCGCAUACGACCUACGGGUGAAAGCAGGGGAUCUUCGGACCUUGCGCGAUUGAAUGAGCCGAUGUCGGAUUAGCUAGUUGGCGGGGUAAAGGCCCACCAAGGCGACGAUCCGUAGCUGGUCUGAGAGGAUGAUCAGCCACACUGGAACUGAGACACGGUCCAGACUCCUACGGGAGGCAGCAGUGGGGAAUAUUGGACAAUGGGCGCAAGCGUGAUCCAGCCAUACCGCGUGGGUGAAGAAGGCCUUCGGGUUGUAAAGCCCUUUUGUUGGGAAAGAAAAGCAGCAGGUUAAUACCCCGCUGUUCUGACGGUACCCAAAGAAUAAGCACCGGCUAACUUCGUG
rnacentral:rRNA from 1 species